rnacentral:rRNA from 1 species
UUCAUAUCGACGGCGGUGUUUGGCACCUCGAUGUCGGCUCAUCACAUCCUGGGGCUGAAGUAGGUCCCAAGGGUACGGCUGUUCGCCGUUUAAAGUGGUACGCGAGCUGGGUUUAGAACGUCGUGAGACAGUUCGGUCCCUAUCUGCCGUGGGCGUUGGAAGAUUGAAAGGGGCUGCUCCUAGUACGAGAGGACCGGAGUGGACGCACCACUGGUGUUCGGGUUGUCAUGCCAAUGGCAUUGCCCGGUAGCUAAGUGCGGAAGAGAUAACCGCUGAAAGCAUCUAAGCGGGAAACUUGCCUUGAGAUGAGUCUUCCCUGACCCUUUAAGGGUCCUAAAGGAACGUUUAAGACUAAGACGUUGAUAGGUUGGGUGUGUAAGCAUAGCGAUAUGUUGAGCUAACCAAUACUAAUGAACCGUGAGGCUUAACCUGACAACACCGAAGGUGUUUUAG